CCAAUUCGGUGUGGGUAGCCCAACCCACACAUUACCUGUCCUCGUAUAAAUUUAAAAUUAAAUAAAAAAGAAUCCAGUCUGUGGUCCUACACCAAUAGUUUCGAUUUUCCACCAAUGCAAAGUAACGCCGUUACCUCAACCAAACCUUUACGGCUUUACGACACAAACGACAACCAAACAAUACUAACCACCGUCAGUCAGCCAGUCUGAAAAUAACACUGGGCCCCAUCCGUGACCCAGUCUUUCGGGUCAUCCACUCAAACC
rnacentral:lncRNA from 1 species